rnacentral:rRNA from 1 species
CCCUUAGAUGUUCUGGGCUGCACGCGCGCUACACUGACACACUCAACAAGCUUAUAACCUUGUCCGAGAGGUCUGGGAAAUCUUUGAAUAUGUGUCGUGAUGGGGAUAGAUCGUUGCAAUUCUCGAUCUUCAACGAGGAAUUCCUAGUAAACGCAGUUCAUCAGACUGCAUUGAUUACGUCCCUGCCCUUUGUACACACCGCCCGUCGCACCUACCGAUUGAAUGGUCCGGUGAGAAUUUUGGAUUGAUGUUUCGUCGGGUUAACGCCAGACUUUACGUUGAGAAGUUAUUCAAACCUUACCAUUUAGAGGAAGGUGAAGUCGUANCA